ACAGAUACAUGCAAAUAUUUAAUGGAUCUUGUAUCUACGUUGGGAUAGUUUAUCAAUGAAUAUCAGAGAGUAGAAGACUUGGGUUCACCUGCAGAGAGAGACCGCAUGCUUAGGCACUACUGUGGACCUCCUCGAGACUCCUUUUCCCCAGAAAAUAGCUAACUUCAAAGCUGAUGGAGUGGUCAUGGAUGAAGCAAACCAGUGAAAUGAUGAGUGCUAGGAAAUCGUACACCUUCAAGAUCAGGGAGGGCUCUACGCCAUGGUGACCAGCAAUUCUACCUGUGUAACUGGACAGAGGAGGCUUUUGAAAUUCAGACUAUUACCAGCCUUUGCAGGAGAGGCUAAUGGAGUACAAGAGACCUUCUCCUGUGUUUUGCAUUCGAAAAUCUUGCAGUUGGUCUUAGGGGAGUCCAGGGACUGUGGUGUUAUCUCUAUUGCACAAGGGAGCAGGUCCCCAGCGAGAGGCUGAGCCACCAAUCAACCAAACUUGCAGACUGGGCUGAGUUUGCAGUAGGUGAAGGCUUCCUUCAAUACCAACUGCUGCUUGGGAUGUCAAAGUAGGGCAGCAGCUAGGAAUCUGUGUGGUACCUGUUACAUAACGUGGUUGCUUAAUAGAUUAGAAAUCUUAUAAUCAAAUAUAUCUCACCAUGGGAAGAUGUUAUUACUCUUCUCUGUUUCAGAGAAAAUUGACAAGAACUUUGCAGCUGUGGAUAAAUAUUUCUACAAUGUUUUCAACGCAAUCCUUUUAUAUGUAAGUGUAUCUCUCUUGUGAAUUUUACUAAACACGUAUUUUUAAGGAAGGAAACAUGCAACAGCAGAUGCAUUGAGUAUAAUUCUGCAAAUUACCAAGAUAUGAGUGCUGCUGUUGACUGUGAGCAUAGAGCAGUGAGCUAAGGUAGAGAACAACAAUAUUUGACAUAGCUGGUCACAGCUGACAUUUCUGUUCUUGAUCCAGUGAAUCAUCUGAAUCCUGUAAGAGCAUUCAUCAUGGAAAUAGUCUGAGACAGAGAAAUAAAGUGAGCUCUCUUACAGAAU
rnacentral:lncRNA from 7 species